GCUAUUUCACUUGCCGGCGGGCAACCAAAAAAGCUCAUUAUAUUGAACACCAUAGAAUGUGUGGCCAAAAACAAUGUCUUUACAAAGGUUGUGUGUCAGCUGUAUUCGCGAAUGGAAUUUAAUGCCUUUGCGACCCUUGGCGAAAAGAAGGAUGCUCACAAAGUGUUGGGAAUUUGCGACGUUGAACUCUACUCACAUGGUCAGAAAAAAAUAACAAGAGUAAAAAAUAUGAAACUGGACUUUUGUCAGCUGAAUAAGUAUACCGAAAAGCACUCGAUAUUGGGAACAUACUACCAAGCACUUCGCAGAUCUGUAGUUGGUUUUCCCAAAAAGUGUCCCUUUAAAAAGAACAACACAUAUUCCGUGAAUCGUUUCUAUUUGAGCUGGCAAGAUACACCGCAAUAUCUACCCGAAGUGAACUUUACUUUUAGGGGAAAGAUUUAUGUGAACGAUGAGUUAGGAAUC